CCCAAGCCGUCUCUGUCUCUCUCCAUCCCGUGUCCCCUCCCUGCUCUAUAUGGAGAAGGGAUCAAAAGAAACCAAGAUCUAAGAAUAUGGCUUGUUAAGUCCUAUUUAUACCACAAAAUGGAGCUGCAUAAUAACUGGAUCCCCUAAUAUGGCUGUAAUGAAGUUGGGAGUGGAUGACAGGAGAUGAUCACUUGAUGAUUGCCUGUUCUGUUCAUUCCUUCUGAAGCACCUAACAUUGGCCACUGCCGGAAGACAGGACACUGAGCUAGAUGGACCAUUGGUCUGACCCAGUAUGGCCAUUCUUAUGUUCUUUCUUCUACACCAAACACUUGCACAUAUGCCAUUCGAGACAUAUAACCAUAAUCUGGAAAUUGGCUUGGUGUACAAAAGUCAACAAAACUGAGCUCUGAGACCAGGAGAAGCAGAAAUCUAUGUAUUUUUAGUUCACCAGACAACAUGAUCAGGAAGCAAGAGUUCCAGGUACUUCUACUACUACUAUAUUGUUGGUUCAAUCCUCUCCCAACUGGGUGUUACUACAAUAAGAGUCAAAUAUCAUUAGCUAAGUGCAGCUAUGCACACCCCUUACUUCAAUACACAUCCAGAUCCUGCAGAAUGGAAACAAAGAAAGAAGACAGCACUGAUGCUUCUAGUCUUUACGAUUGCAUAGAUAAAUAAAAUCUGAAGCAAUAGAAUGCUGAGAGAGCAGGUGUAAAAGAGGUGUGAACUGCCCCUGUGAAAUGUUUAUUUUUUAGCCUAAUGAAGGCUAAUAAUUUUCAAAUACAGAUGUACAAGUGUCUGCCUAAUAUGCAUGUACAAGUACUGCAACUGUACACACAAACUGGCUA